rnacentral:rRNA from 1 species
UACGUAGGGACCAAGCGUUGUUCGGAUUUACUGGGCGUAAAGAGCGCGCAGGCGGCUGGGCAAGUCCGAUGUGAAAGCUUCCGGCUUAACUGGAAAAUUGCAUCGGAAACUGCUCGGCUUGAAGGUGGGAGAGGGUAGCGGAAUUCCCGGUGUAGUGGUGAAAUGCGUAGAUAUCGGGAGGAACACCAGUGGCGAAGGCGGCUACCUGGCCCACUCUUGACGCUGAGGCGCGAAAGCUAGGGGAGCAAACGGG